UACGUAGGGGGCAAGCGUUGUCCGGAUUUAUUGGGCGUAAAGAGCGUGUAGGCGGCCAGACAAGUCUGCUGUGAAAACUCGAGGCUCAACCUCGAGCUGUCGGUGGAAACUGUCUGGCUAGAGUCCGGAAGAGGAGAGUGGAAUUCCUGGUGUAGCGGUGAAAUGCGCAGAUAUCAGGAAGAACACCUAUGGCGAAGGCAGCUCUCUGGGC
rnacentral:rRNA from 1 species